rnacentral:lncRNA from 1 species
GAAGAUGAAGAGGCUACCCUAAGCAUAAAAUUAAAAGUUAAGAGUUGAAAAGAUCUGACCAAUGGGAUGCAACCAAACAGACAAGAAUGUAAAACCCAUUUUCCCUUUGGACUUUGAAUCAAACAAUAAUCAACAAGAAAUUAGCAAUUUCAGACAUCAUGAAGAUCAAGGUAUCAAAUAAAGAUAGCCACUUCCAAGC